UAUUCCUGCAAAGUGGUCUAAUUUGAAACUCAAAAUUUGUAUAAGUCCUAAUAAGUGUAAGCACUAAGCAGUAAGUAAGUAAACUCUUCAUAACGUUGUUAAACCAAUGUCUUGACGAUUUUAUGAAUUUUUGUCAUUUAUAAUAAUUAUUGUCUUUUUAUUUUGGAUUUUGGGGUAUCGCGUAUCAACUCAGCACCAUUUUUGCCCGUAUUCGAACAUCUGACUGAACUCGAAGAAUGACGGAAUACUGGAAGUCUUUGCCAAAGAAAUUUUGUGAUGCUUGCAAAUGCUGGUUCGCUGAUAACAAAGCCAGCAUUGAAUUUCACGAACGCGGUGUGCGACACAAGCAAAAUGUGGAGAUACGCAUUCGCGAAGCACAGAAAAAGGGCAAAAGCAGACAAGAUACAACAACCGCCACCGAUGAUGAGAUGCGACGGAUUGAAGCAGCGGCGUUGAAAUCGUUUGAAAAAGAUGUUCUUGCCAACCCGUCCUUGUCGGGCCAGUAUUCCUCGGCUGCAGCCAAGCUGAUGAGCACUCAACCUUCCACUGCGUUGUCGUCCUCCGACGCGCCCAGUAAACCGCCACCGGCGCCAUCCGCAUCAUCAGCCGCAGCCAAAGCCGAAGCUCAAGCUAAAGGAGAAGCGAUGCGACGCAUGAAGGGCCAGGAGAAGGCGUUGGAAGCCGUCACAUCUUUCCAGAAAAAGCAGGUUCAGGAGAAGGCUGCCAAAAAGUGGAAAGAAAUGAAGUCCGAAGACGGAUAUUCGUUUUUUAUUCACCAGGAUACGAUGGAUUCGCGCUGGGAUCCCCCGCCCGAGGGGUAUGUUUCUCUAGCGGAACAAAUGGAAGCCGAUGGUGAAACGACGGAUGCUGUACCGGCAAUGCGUACUAAGCCGCUUCUUCCUCUGCUCGGGGCCACCUCGUCAAUCGGCUCCUGGACGACAGUGGAAGCUAAUAUCUCGGAGCCAGCUUACGUAUUCCCCACAUCAUCCAAGGUUAGUCCCUCCGAUGAGAUGCAUAACAAAGCCGCUGAACAGGAUAAGGUAAAAAUGGAGCUGAAGACGAAAACAGUGACGUCGCUCGAGGAUGUGGAAGGCUGUGGCUCAUUUAAAAAAAGAAAGGUCAUGGGAGAUGGAAAGCGGCAAGUCAGACGAAGAGAAGCUGAAGACUAACUUUUGCGAAUCGGUAUCCUGUGAUAAACACUGCAAGUGGAAAUCAAACCUGAACAGGAAACUACUUUUUUACAAUAGUACGUUGUUGUCUGAAUCUCUCACGACCUAAUUGCAGCUCUGCAUCAUAUAACGAUGCGAUGGUGUUUUAUGCCAUUGAAUACAGACUGUGGAAGACAAAUUGCCUUCAAUUUAAAAGCGUCUGACACUUACAAGAGUUACAGUAUAUCCCAACAAACUUGUACAUAUCUUAGUUUAACUGAAGUGGAAAUAACAAAGACUUACAAAACUGAGUGUUCUGCAAUUGUUCAAGCAUAGCAAUAUUCCAGGUUACAAAAUGUGCGGUAAAACUGGAAUAAAAGAAGAAUCGAAAGCUGCCUGCAUCCGAAGUUACACCGUCUAGGAACUCUUUGUCAGUUAGGAACUUGUGUAUAGGAACUUAAUCUUUCCACUGCACUAACGAGAUCAAUUACUUGCACUCCCUUGGGCAGGAACUUCGAAUAUGGAGAACUAGGAACACCGAUCACAACUACUGCUUGCCCUGGCCGAGAAAAAAACCUCCACAAUCCUUUAUGACUUCCACGCUGGUCCAGAUCCCAAAUCUUCAAACACCGGCAAAAUUCUAACCAGGUCUUAAAAUCGGAAGAGUUAUCCAUUCGAAUAAAAACCGAUAAAGUUUUAUCAGAAACAGCAGGAAAAAAGUCCGGUCGACAGGGCGAAACCGAAUGAUUGACAGGAACUGCAACGGAUAAGAGAUCACGAAGCUUCCGUUCAUAACCGUUUUCGGUUAAAUCCGUCAGAUGUAAAUCCUUGAGAGGCCCCUUGUAUACGGCAUGUCGCUCGAAAUAAAUGGUCUGAAAGAUGGGAUUCAUGUUCAAGCCGCUUGCUCCAAAAUGCAUUCAGCCCAUCAUGAUGCACAAAUAAAUGCGCCACUAAGAGGAGACCGCAUCCACAUGUCCCAGUCCCAAUUAAAAUUCGGUGAAGGCCAAUUCAGCUGUAAUUCAUCCACGAAUAACUUGCGCGGUAUAACCCAACCCAAACCAGGCAUAGUUUCCACUCGGUACAACAACUGCGGAUCACCUACUGAGUGCUCGUAACCCAGAUCAUUCCAUGCUGAAAUACAGUACAAGCUCGCAUCUUCCCUUAACAACGGUACAGUCUGGACGACAAAAUGAAAGAAAUCUGGGCUAACUUCCAAGUCUUCCUCCAGAACAAUAGCAUAUUCUGCCAGCGGGUGCCGGGCAAACAUUGUGGUCAAACUGGAUUUAUAAUGCUGCGAGAUACGAGCAUUACCGUGACCACCAGGGAUAUGCUGCACGGCAGAAAGCCCAUACAAACGAGCCACUCUGGCUGGCUCAUCCCAUAAACCAUCGAUAAAAAUCGUUAUCAGCCGCGGAUCAACACCCGCAGUACUCAGUAGCGUCCGAAGCAUGGUGUUCAGAUAAAACGGACGAUUACCAGCAAUAAUUCCUACGGGAAUCAUCGACCGCCCUUUUUCAACAAAUGCUCUCUCCGGAAGCGGGCUGGGGAAGAAUGUUACCGGCUCCGGAUUAUCACAGUGGCAAAUUUCCGGAUAUCCAUCAGUGUGCUCGCAAAAUUCUCGUAACCUUUUAACGGAUCUACCGGAACAAUUCCAGCGUACUAUUAUCGGAUCCAACUCCAUAACGUAGUCUAGCGUAACCGGCAAUGCCCACGUGGAGAACGAUGGUGCCUUCGUAAAGGAUUCUCCCAGGCGGAUGAAACCAUGCAGUACUUUGACAGCAAUAAAAAUCCACAUGUCGCGCCACUGCAGAUUUCCCGCGUAACUUGAACCCCACGCCGCGAAUAGUUUUCGUGCUGCAUUCCCAAAGUGGAAAGAGCUGAAGUGCAAUAGAAGCAUUAAGCAGAAGCGUCUAGUUUGCAUAAGUGCUUAAAACACUGAAUUCAAUCACUCCUGUUUACUAAGUAGUGUCUAGGGCUACCAUAUGGUAUCUG